GGCACAGGCCCCGGGCGGUCCCGGACUCUGAGUCUCGCAGUCUCGCAGUCUCGCUGGAGCAGGGCCUCUGCGCUCCUGCUCCGGCCACAGCUUGCAGUGCUCUCGGUCAGGUUUUUUGACCUUUCUUGUAAUUGGGCGCGCUCGCGGCGCCGUGUUGUGGGAGCUGGUUAAACAGCGGUAAUGGCUCUGCUGCGGUGCCGUGAGGCAGCGGGUCUGAGGGGUCACGUUAAAGCAGGUAUUGCCCGUUCCAAGGGACUGUCGGGGACUCAGAGAAUCCCAGAACAGUUCGGGCUGGAACAGACCUCAGUCCAAGCCCGCUGCCAAGGCAGGGUCACCCAGAGCAGGGACACAGGAACACGUCCAGGAGUAAUGAGACCUCUCCCAAUGACUCAGUGAUACUCUCCUCACCAGGUAUUUCAACAGGACCUGCCCUUACCAAGGAGUUUUGCUGACAGCUUCCCAGCGCUGCAGAGAUCCCUGAUUUUCUGAGCCAUCUUGCCACUGCAAUUAAUGCCAGCUGAGGGUUAAAUAAAAAUGUGAAGAACUAGGCCUGCCAAGAUUUGGAGACAAGUUAUCAAGGGUAUUCAGCAUUGAAAAAUGUAUCUUACUAUCAAAAAAAUAUCACCCCUCGCUUUUAUACUUUUUACACAGGGAAGUUGAUGUGCACCCACCCUCCUGAGUGGCUCUUCUUGAUUUUGUAGUAUGAAAUAACAUUGAAAAAUCUGCUUUUUUCAUCUUGCCUGCAUGUCCAGAGGUGGAGUUUGUCAUCCAAAGUCUGAAACAGAGGCGCACCAGAGUACAGCAGUGUUCAGUGUACUUCCUGCAGCCAGAGGUAUCCACAAGCUCCAGGGAGCAGGGAUAAUACCAGAGCACACCUUGUCCAGGAAACAGAAAUGCACCCGUGGGAGCAAGAGGAACAGCCUGCUGCCUCUGGAAAGGUGACUGCUCGGCGGGGGAUCUGGCACAGAAAGGACAAGGGUGGAGCCUGCAGGGCAGCCUGUUCCUCCGGCAAUGCCUCUGUGUCAGCAUCUUCCCCCUCUCCCGAGGUUCCAAGGGAAGGUGGGGGGGAAGGCAUUGCCAAGCCUUAUGUAACCUCCAGCCCUGGAAAGAGGUGCAUGCUGGGGCUCCCUCUCCCCACACAGCACCCCAGCAUGCAGGCACGCCUCCACACCCUUCUCUUUGCACAAGGCAAGAGAGACCUCCCACAAGAUCAUCUCCCACCUCUACUGUGCAUCUGUUCAUUUUCUGCCUGUCAAGCCUUCUCAGAAUUUAAAAGAUCUUACAAGAGAUAGGGGGAACAAGCUUUCAAGUUUGAGUGCAUCAGAUCUGGACAGAUCUGAUAUCAAACGUGAAUUUUUAUUGCUUUGGCUUACUUUUCUUACCUUUUUUUUCCCCAGAGUGGAAAAGAAAGAGAACUGCUGUGUAAGGAAUUGUUGCUUGCAAUGUAUUUUUCUGAGCAAUAAAAAUACCUUCAAGACAGCAGUACAAUUCUCUUUUUAGCCUUGACACUUCCAAAUCCUGAUAUACGUGGCUGAGUUAGAUGGAAAGGUAUUAUUAGGUUUUUAUUAGAUUAUGAUGCAAACUCAGUCUGGCUAGGCUCAUCAGGCAGUAAAUCUAGUGCCAACAGCUGUGACCAAAUUCUGCUCCUGUACCUGUUACUGCUUGUGGUCAGUUUUCCUCUGGUUUUCUGUCAGUUGUGAGAAAGGCAUGCAUGUACCAGGGCAGGCUUCCAGUACAACCAGUAUUGACAGAGUAAUUGUGAUUGUGCUCCUAAAUGAAAUCAGGAAUAAUUCUAUUAAAAGAAGAAGAGUUAGUCUUCCUCACACAAUGCAGGAUUCCAAAAUUCAGCCUUAAUCACACAAAUAGGACUUGUUAGAUACAUCAUGGGUAUUAGACAUGGCUUUUACCAUCAGUGACUUCUUGUUUCAACAAUAACCUUUUUUCAGCUCCUGUCUGGCAGCCACAUGUUGUGUUAAAGAAGUGAAUCAAACUCUGUUAGCCAGGGAGACCUGGAGAUCUGCUGUUGUCCUCUGCAGGGACUGCACAAGAACUGUGACUCCAAAAGCUUCCCUGGAUCCUGUGAACACAGCAAGUGCUGUUUCCAUUCCAGGCAGUGCCACAGUCCCACUUCAGGAAUGCCAAACUCACUUUAAUCCUGCUCUGACUGCUGCAGGAGCUCAGCAGUGAAGCAAAGGUACAGAUGGAAACCCAGGCCAAGCUCACAGAUGUCCUGUGGCAGAGGAGCUGCUGUGCACUCUGUAACAUUCAGAAUAGAUGCUGUGAUUUUAAAGGUUGCAAUACACCAAGACUUCCUCCAGAAAGAAUAAAAGCUCACCUGGCAGGAUGGCAAGUUUGAGAAAAUGAAAGCUGUUGCAUCAAAAGCCAAAUUCUUGCUUGUAGGCAGCUCUUGGAUAGUGCAGCAGAGCCAUAAAUCCAGAUGCCGCUGCAUGUAGUUCUCAAGCAAAGCUUCCAAAAAUCCCAACCUCUGCAAAUAUCCUUAUUUAUUUAUCUGCUGAAAUAGGCAACUUCUGAUGAAAGCAGCAGGAUAUAACACUAUAUAUAACAGUAUAUAUAACAGUAUCUUCCAAUGUAUUGCUGUAUCCACACUACCUUUUCUGAGUUUGUAGCCAUUCUAUCCCCCACUAAGAAAAUAUCUUCACCUAAAAGCAGUGAAAAAUAAUAUUCCUGCCCCCAAUCUGAACAAUUAAUGGAUAUUCUGCCUUGAUAUUUAUUCCAGUCUUCUCUAAUAAUUUUCAAAUUUCGGAAAGUAAUGUUAAUUUCCAGGUACUUCAAAACAGGUAUAGAAUCCUUAUCCUGGACCUCCUGUUUAACCAGAUCUCCUGUUCCUUUCCCACUUACCAGUGGAUAAUGUGCACCAAGGACAAGUAAUGCCCAGCCUCUUUUUUUCUUUUUCCCUGGCAACCAUUUAAACAAGGUAACAAGUGCACAUGUCAUUGCAAGGCACUGGAAAAGUCUACCUGUACAGAGAAACUUACUGAAAUCCCCACUGAAUGUGAGAAAUGUAAUUAUGUGACUAUAUCGUGCCAUAGCUUUGCCACUGUAAUUCUCCUCCCUCUCCCUUUCCCAGAGACUGUUGAAAAUAAGUUAUUUGAACGAAGAAUUACAUGCAAUAUGAUCCGAUUUUAACUCAGCACUUAUCUUGAAUCAGUAGUGUCCAAUAGACAUUUCAGGCCAUUUAUUCUUGGGACAAUGAUCUCAAAUUGUUCCUGGAAUUUUAGGAACAAGAUCACUUUCAGUUAGAGCAGAAAAUCUGUGGGGUAAUUUUAUGAUAAGUUAGUAGAAUGAAAAUUGGAGUCAAUCCAAAAAGUUUUUUACACUGCAGUGUAAAGCAGGUGGAGUUCCAAAUUCUUGUUCCAGAAAAUACCUUUUUCAUAACCAAAAAUCCAGGUGAAUGAUGAGCCAGAUGAACAAAGGUGAUUUUAUUACCAGGCUGCAGAAUUCCUACCAAAUUAAAUUUAAAGAUUGCUUACGUGUCAUAUUAAUUUAUGUGGUCACAGAAAUAGCUCUGCUCAAAAAAAAAAGUAGUGGUAUACAGAUUAAUAAUCCUGGGCAGGGGUGCAUUUACAUCCCCUCUGCUGCUGGUGAGCAAAUGCCUCUCUACAGGUGCCAAGGAAAAUGGGCCACUCAGACAACUGCUUGCAGGCCAGGCUCCAUCUGGUACAGAACAUUCCCAGAGCUCGCUGUGCUGCUGCUGGGGCUGACAGUU